rnacentral:rRNA from 1 species
CAGGGAUUGCCCUAGUAACGGCGAGUGAAGCGGCAACAGCUCAAAUUUGAAAUCUGGCCUCACGGUCCGAGUUGUAAUUUGUAGAGGAUGCUUCUGGCGACGUGCCUUCCGAGUUCCCUGGAACGGGACGCCAUAGAGGGUGAGAGCCCCGUCCGGUCGUGCACCUAGCCUCUGUGAAGCUCCUUCGACGAGUCGAGUAGUUUGGGAAUGCUGCUCUAAAUGGGAGGUAUACGUCUUCUAAAGCUAAAUACCGGCCAGAGACCGAUAGCGCACAAGUAGAGUGAUCGAAAGAUGAAAAGCACUUUGAAAAGAGGGUUAAAUAGUACGUGAAAUUGCUGAAAGGGAAGCGCUUAUGACCAGACUUGGGCUCGGUGAAUCAUCCGGCGUUCUCGCCGGUGCACUUUGCCGUCCCAGGCCAGCAUCAGUUCGCGCCGGGGGAUAAAGGUUUCGGGAACGUGGCUCCCUCGGGAGUGUUAUAGCCCGUUGCGUAAUACCCUGGCGUGGACUGAGGUCCGCGCUCUGCAAGGAUGCUGGCGUAAUGGUCAUCAGUGACCCGUCUUGAAACACGGACCAAGGAGUCGUCUUCGUAUGCGAGUGUUCGGGUGUCAAACCCCUACGCGUAAUGAAAGUGAACGUAGGAGAGAGCUUCGGCGCAUCUCCGACCGAUCCUGAUGUUCUCGGAUGGAUUUGAGUAAGAGCAUACGGGGCCGGACCCGAAAGAAGGUGAACUAUGCCUGUAUAGGGUGAAGCCAGAGGAAACUCUGGUGGAGGCUCGCAGCGGUUCUGACGUGCAAAUCGAUCGUCAAAUAUGGGCAYGGGGGCGAAAGACUAAU